CAAAGGGAGAAGCAGGCUCCAUGCAGGGAGCCCGAUGUGGGACUCGAUCCCCGACCCCAGGAUCACGCUGAAGGCUGAAGGCAGACUGGGCUGAAGGCAGACUCUCAACCGCUGAGCCACCCAGGUGCCCUCUGAUAUUUUUUUUAAGGCGCUGCACAGCACCGUGUGACAUCGUGAUCCAGGAGUCCCGUGCGACCCGCACCUCUUCCCCGUGUCCAUCCCACCCCCCAUGGGCUGCCGUCCUCACAUUUGCGAGAAAGGGGACCUAAGUGGGACCCAAGCGGCCAACAAGGUGUGACCGUGGACUUUCUGUGGUUUGAGCGGCGGCAGCAGAGCAGCAGGUUCUUGGAUAUGUAUUACGCACCAGGAGCUGAGGACACUACUUCUCGAGAAGAGUUCAUCGAAAGGACAUGGCAAGUGUGGAAAGCAGUGUGGGGUGGCCUGGCGCAGGGUGAGUGAGCCGGAGACCAGGGAGCUACGGGAGGAAGGGCAGGUGCAGAGGCCACGCCCACUGUCUGUCCAGGUAGGAAGGUGACAGGCUCAUCCUGCUCUGCGUCCUGGGCCCCUGGAGGACCUGGACCGGGACACUCACAUCAGCAUGAGGGCUGGCCAGGUUCACUUGGGAAACCGGUG